rnacentral:rRNA from 1 species
CGAACGGGUGAGUAAUGCGUGACCAACUUGCCCCAUGCUCCAGAAUAGCUCUUGGAAACGGGUGGUAAUGCUGGAUGCUCCAACUUGACGCAUGUCUUGUUGGGAAAGUGUUUAGUGGCAUGGGAUGGGGUCGCGUCCUAUCAGCUUGUAGGCGGGGUAAUGGCCCACCUAGGCUUCGACGGGUAGCCGGCCUGAGAGGGCGGACGGCCACAUUGGGACUGAGAUACGGCCCAGACUCCUACGGGAGGCAGCAGGA